rnacentral:rRNA from 1 species
GAUCAUGGCUCAGGACGAACGCUGGCGGCGUGCCUAACACAUGCAAGUCGAGCGAGGAGAUCCUCGGGAUGAUCCUAGCGGCGGACGGGUGAGUAACACGUGGGCAACCUGCCUCAUAGAGAGGAAUAGCCUUCCGAAAGGGAGAUUAAUACCUCAUAACAUUGCAGUUUCGCAUGGAACAGCAAUUAAAGGAGCAAUCCGCUAUGAGAUGGGCCCGCGGCGCAUUAGCUAGUUGGUGAGGUAACGGCUCACCAAGGCGACGAUGCGUAGCCGACCUGAGAGGGUGAUCGGCCACAUUGGGACUGAGACACGGCCCAGACUCCUACGGGAGGCAGCAGUGGGGAAUAUUGCACAAUGGGGGAAACCCUGAUGCAAGCAACGCCGCGUGAGUGAUGACGGCCUUCGGGUUGUAAAGCUCUGUCUUCAGGGACGAUAAUGACGGUACCUGAGGAGGAAGCCACGGCUAACUACGUGCCAGCCGCAGC